AACGAACGCUGGCGGCAUGCCUAACACAUGCAAGUCGAACGAGACCUUCGGGUCUAGUGGCGAACGGGUGCGUAACGCGUGGGAACCUGCCCUUAGGUUCGGAUUCACUCCCCGAAAGGGGUGCUAAUACCGGCUAAUGUCUUCGGACCACAGAUUUAUCGCCUUUGGAUGGGCCCGCGUUGGAUUAGCUUGUUGGUAGGGUAAAAGCCUACCAAGGCGACGAUCCAUAGCUGGUCUGAGAGGAUGAUCAGCCACACUGGGACUGAGACACGGCCCAGACUCCUACGGGAGGCAGCAGUGGGGAAUAUUGGACAAUGGGCGAAAGCCUGAUCCAGCAAUGCCGCGUGAGUGAUGAAGGCCUUAGGGUUGUAAAGCUCUUUUACCCGGGAUGAUAAUGACAGUACCGGGAGAAUAAGCUCCGGCUAACUACGUG
rnacentral:rRNA from 1 species